GACGUAGGGACCGAGCGUUGUCCGGAAUUACUGGGCGUACAGCGCGCGCAGGCGGAUACGCGCAUCAUCGGUGAAAGCCCCCCGCUCAACGGGGGAGGGUCCGGGGCGAUGGCGUGUCUGGAGGCAGGGAGAGGCGAGUGGAAUUCCGGGUGUAGUGGUGAAAUGCGUAGAGAUCCGGAGGAACGCCAGUGGCGAAGGCGGCGCUCUGGACCUGACCUGACGCUGAGGCGCGAAGGCGUGGGGAGCGAACGGG
rnacentral:rRNA from 1 species